UAUGAAUUUGAUAUCAACCCUCUGCCAUAAGUCACCUGUCCCUGCGGACACAUUCAUGUCUGCUCAAUGGAAAUCACCACUGAUAACAUAUCCAGGAAGAACAGUCAUAUUAUAUUUAGACCUCAUUAAUAGUACGAGGGUGGAGUUACAUCUCCUGCACCUCCCUCUUCUCCCUGAUUACACAUUUUUGUUUUGCAAGAGAAUUGAGAAGUGUACGUCAGUGAAAGAUAUACUGUUUUGAAGAAGGGGACACUUGGACCUGUGUGACCGCCAUGCCUUCUUACACAGUGACUGUUUCCACAGGGAGCCAGUGGUUCGCAGGGACGGAUGAUUAUAUCUACAUUACUUUGGUGGGCACGGAGGGAUGCAGCGAGAGAACGCUGCUGGACAAAGCUCUGUACAAUGACUUUGAGAGGGGGGCGGUGGACUCCUAUGACGUGAGGGUUGGGGAGAACCUGGGUGAGGUUUUGUUGGUGAAGAUUGAGAAGAAGAAGUACUGGGUGCAGGAUGACUGGUACUGCAGUUAUAUCACAGUCAAGACUCCAUCUGGAGACUACCUGGAGUUCCCCUGCUUCCACUGGCUGGUGGACGACAAAGAAGUGGUGCUGCGGGAUGGAAGAGCACAUCUGCCUCAGGAUGAUAAGACCAGCCUGGUCAAGCUGCAUAGACAAAAAGAGCUGGAAAAGAGGAGGAAAACCUUCAGGUGGAAGGAGUGGCAGCCAGGCUUCCCGAUGAGCAUAGAUGCUGACAGACACAAGGAUUUGCCCCGUGACAUCCAGUUUGACAGUGAGAAGGGAGUGGACUUCGUACUGAACUACAGUAAGGCAAUAGAGAACCUGUUUGUGAACCAGUUCAUGCACAUGUUCCAGUCCUCCUGGAGUGACUUCGCAGACUUUGAGAGGAUCUUUGUGAGAAUCAAAAACACAAUCUCAGAGUAUGUGAUGCAACACUGGAAGGAGGACUUCAUGUUUGGGUACCAAUUUCUAAACGGCUGCAACCCCAUAAUGUUCCAAAAGUGUAUCAAACUUCCUGACAAGUUUCCUGUCACUCAUGAGAUGGUUUCUGUCAGCCUGGAGAGGGAGCUGACUCUGGAGCAGGAACUAGAGGCAGGUAACAUCUACAUUGUGGACUACGAGGUGUUGGAAGGCAUCAGUCCUAACUGCACAGACCCGUGCACGCUGCAGUACCUGGCAGCUCCGAUCUGUCUGCUCUACAAGAACACUCAGAACAAGAUCCUGCCCAUAGCCAUACAGCUUGGGCAGACUCCAGGGAAAGACCAGCCGAUCUUCCUGCCCACUGAUGGUCAGUACGACUGGCUGCUGGCUAAGAUCUGGGUCCGCUCAGCCGACUUCCAGUAUCACCAGACCAUCACACACCUGCUCAGGACUCAUCUGAUGACAGAGGUGUUUGGUGUUGCCAUGUACAGGCAGCUCCCUGCUGUUCACCCUGUGUAUAAGCUACUUAUCCCACACAUUCGUUUUACCAUGGCUAUCAACACCAAGGCCAGAGAGCAGCUCAUCUGUGAGUGUGGCAUCUUUGACAAGGCAAACGCAACAGGUGGAGGUGGUCACGUCCAGAUGAUUCAAAAGGCCAUGAAGUCUCUGACUUUCAGGUCUCUGUGCUUCCCGGAUAUUAUCAAGUCCCGCGGUGUGGACAACAAGGAGGAACUGCCCACCUACUUCUACAGAGACGAUGGCUACAGGGUCUGGGAGGCCACCAAGAGUUUCGUGUCUGAUGUGGUGCAUAUUUACUACACCAGUGAUGAGACGGUGCAGGAAGACGGAGAAAUACAGGCCUUCAUUAAAGAUGUGUGCAGCUUUGGUAUGCAGGACCUCGAUCAAUGUGAAUUUCCCAAGUUCCUGAAAUCCCGCGAGGAGCUGAUAGAGUAUCUGACCGUCAUUGUGUUCACUGCUUCGGCCCAGCAUGCAGCGGUCAACUUUGGACAGUAUGACUGGUAUUCCUGGAUCCCCAAUGCUCCAUCUACCAUGAGAAGGCCCCCGCCCAACCAGAAGGGUUUGGCAAAUGUGAACUUGAUCAUCGAGAGCCUUCCUGAUCGCGGACGUUCCAGCUGGCACCUGGGGGCCGUCUGGGCCCUCAGCCAGUACCAGGAGGGAGAGGUACUGAAAAACUUACAGUUGGUUUAUUGCGAGAUGGAACGAGAGGAUUGGAUUAAGGAAGUGGAAAGGGGUUCAGGGAUGAGGGGAUAGAGGGGAGCAGUAACGGAAAGGGGAGAGGGGGUCGUGGAAAGAAGGUUGGAGGGGUGCGAUGAGAGACUGCUGGCGUCCGGUGGCUGGAGGGAAUGGCGAGGGUGGAGACUCGAGAGUAGGGGCCGUCCCUUCUGAAGUCCCCAAAAGAUAGCUUUGUGAAGAGUGCCGGUGAAUGUUUCAGUUUUCGUGUAGGAGAGGUACGCAGAGGAGGACCACCGGCCAAGCAUCUUUAUGAUGUGGUCCGGGAUUCCUCGACUUGGAGUGGUGGAGGUGGUGCUGAUGCGGAAGGAAUGGUAGUGGAACCGAGACCGUGGGGACCCCUUGCUUGGCACUGUGGCAUAAAGGGGGUCUCGCUGAGAAGUUCAACUGGCUGAUGUCGAGCUUAAGUAGUCCCGGUUAGAUUUCUUAUGGACUGUAUGAGUCUAGUCGGAUAGGGAAGGUGCGUUGAGGUGGACGGUGUUGGUUGGUCUUGCUGCGUUUGAGGUGAUAGAUGAUGGUGUCGGGAGGAUGGAUGGCGGUCGGAGUUUAAGACGGUAAACUCUGGGCAGCGCAGGAGGCUGAAGAAAGCCGGCAAGAACAUGGACUUUAAUACUUUGUCCGUGAAGGGCGACAGGUAGGGUGAAGGGCGACAGGUAGCCUGAGCGUCGUGUCCGAACGCGGCAGGUGAGGAGGAGGUCUACUACUAAUGAAGGUAGCGGUGGAUGUCAGGCAAGACCUCGGUCUGGAUGUAAUGACGAUCCAUGGAAACCUGUGGGGCAAGAAUUUCUUUUCUUUUUUAGCAGUGGUGUUCGGUCCAGAGACUGUCCGCUCAGUAAAAGGGAUUUAUAGAGACUGUAGGAGUGGUGCCUGGAUGUUCGGCGUGGGCGACGGCGAAGUCGGGAUCUGCCUCCCGGGGCUGUUGGAAGGCGAGGGCUGACUACUUUGGAGUUGUUGGAGGAUGGAUGCAGAGAACCGCGGCGAUCAUGGAUGGCUAAACGCGGCCGAGGAUGCUGGCGACGAAUCGUGGUCUGAGAAGGAGGGAGCUCCGGGACUUCCGGAUAUAGCUGGUCACUCGGGAGGGUUGAGAGAGCGUUUGUAUUAGCUGUACCUGGGCAUGUAUCCUGAUGAGCACUUCAUAGAGAAACCAGUGAAGGCGGCCAUGCAGACGUUCAGGAAGCAGCUUGCAGAGAUAAGCAGCUCCAUCAAGAAGAGGAACGACG